GACGUAGGGCGCGAGCGUUUGUCCGGAUUUAUUGGGCGUAAAGAGCUCGUAGGCGGCUUGUUGCGUCAGCUGUGAAAACCCGCAGCUCAACUGUGGGCUUGCAGCUGAUACGGGGCAGACUAGAGUUCGGUAGGGGAGUCUGGAAUUCCUGGUGUAGCGGUGAAAUGCGCAGAUAUCAGGAGGAACACCGGUGGCGAAGGCGGGACUCUGGGCCGAUACUGACGCUGAGGAGCGAAAGCGUGGGGGAGCAAACAGG
rnacentral:rRNA from 1 species